UGUAGGGUAGAUUAAAGGUAAAUCAUCAGACUCAUGAUUUGGGAAUGUAGGUUCGAGUCCUGCCUCUACAG
rnacentral:tRNA from 1 species